AGUAAAAGUCGUAACAAGGUUUCCGUAGGUGAACCUGCGGAAGGAUCAUUAAUGAAUGAACUUGGGCAAAGUUGUCGCUGGCCUCAGCAAUGGGGCAUGUGCACGCUUUGUUCAUCCACCCUUCACACCACUGUGCACUUCUCAUGGGUCGGGUUGCGUCUGAAAUAUGGCAAAGCCCUUCUCAUGUGUUUUAACCACACACUAUACAAGUUUUAGAAUGUAACAAUCAUGCAUCAAUGCAUAUAAUACAACUUUCAGCAACGGAUCUCUUGGCUCUCGCAUCGAUGAAGAACGCAGCGAAAUGCGAUAAGUAAUGUGAAUUGCAGAAUUCAGUGAAUCAUCGAAUCUUUGAACGCACCUUGCGCUCCUUGGUAUUCCGAGGAGCAUGCCUGUUUGAGUGUCAUGGUAUUCUCAACCCUGCUACAUUUUUUUGUAGUUGGGCUUGGACUUGGAGGUUUAUUGCUGGUGUUCUCUUUUGAACGCGGGCUCCUCUGAAAUGCAUUAGCUGGAAUGUUACCGAGCAUGAUUCAAUGUGAUAAUUGUCUACGUUGCUUCAACUUGGUAUUAAUUCUGUUUCAGCUUCAAACCGUCCUUGCGGACAAUAUCUUGAACAUCUGACCUCAAAUCAGGUAGGACUACCCGCUGAACUUAAGCAUAUCAAUAAGCGGAGGAAAAGAAACUAACAAGGAUUCCCCUAGUAACUGCGAGUGAAGCGGGAAAAGCUCAAAUUUAAAAUCUGGCAGCUUUGGCUGUCCGAGUUGUAGUCUGGAGAAGCGUUUUCCGUGC
rnacentral:rRNA from 1 species